rnacentral:rRNA from 1 species
GAUGAACGCUGGCGGCGUGCUUAACACAUGCAGUCGAACGAAGCAUUUGCGACAGAUUUUUUCGGAAUGAAGUUGCUUAUGACUGAGUGGCGGACGGGUGAGUAACGCGUGGGUAACCUGCCUUGUACUGGGGGAUAGCAGCUGGAAACGGCUGGUAAUACCGCAUAAGCGCACAAUGUUGCAUGACAUGGUGUGAAAAACUCCGGUGGUAUAAGAUGGACCCGCGUCUGAUUAGCUAGUUGGUGAGAUAACAGCCCACCAAGGCGACGAUCAGUAGCCGACCUGAGAGGGUGACCGGCCACAUUGGGACUGAGACACGGCCCAGACUCCUACGGGAGGCAGCAGUGGGGAAUAUUGCACAAUGGAGGAAACUCUGAUGCAGCGACGCCGCGUGAGUGAAGAAGUAAUUCGUUAUGUAAAGCUCUAUCAGCAGGGAAGAUAGUGACGGUACCUGACGAAGAAGCUCCGGCUAAAUACGUG